UACGUAGGUGGCGAGCGUUAUCCGGAAUUACUGGGUGUAAAGGGUGAGUAGGCGGGUCUGCAAGUCAGGAGUGAAAUGUACGGGCUCAACCCGUGCCGUGCUAAUGAAACUGCAGAUCUUGAGUGCGGAAGAGGUAAAUGGAAUUCCCGGUGUAGCGGUGAAAUGCGUAGAUAUCGGGAGGAACAUCUGUGGCGAAGGCGGCUUUCUGGACAGUAACUGACGCUGAGGCGCGAAAGCGUGGGGAGCAAACAGGAUUAGAUACCCGGGUAGU
rnacentral:rRNA from 1 species